rnacentral:rRNA from 1 species
UACGGGGGGGGCAAGCGUUGUUCGGAAUUACUGGGCGUAAAGGGCUCGUAGGCGGCCAACUAAGUCAAACGUGAAAUCCCUCGGCUUAACCGGGGAACUGCGCUUGAUACUGGAUGGCUUGAGAUUGGGAGAGGGAUGCGGAAUUCCAGGUGUAGCGGUGAAAUGCGUAGAUAUCUGGAGGAACACCGGUGGCGAAGGCGGCAUCCUGGACCGGGAUUGACACUGAGGCGCGAAAGCCAGGGGAGCAAACGGG